rnacentral:rRNA from 1 species
CACGUAGGGCGCAAGCGUUGUCCGGAAUUAUUGGGCGUAAAGAGCUCGUAGGUGGUUUGUUACGUCUGCUGUGAAAACCUAGGGCUUAACCCUGGGCUUGCAGUGGAUACGGGCAGACUAGAGGUAGGUAGGGGAGAAUGGAAUUCCCGGUGUAGCGGUGAAAUGCGCAGAUAUCGGGAGGAACACCGGUGGCGAAGGCGGUUCUCUGGGACGGUACUGACGCUGAGACGCGAAAGCGUGGGGAGCGAACAGG